UAAUAUGAAAGGAAAUAUUCCUAUUUAAUUUCGACUUAAAAAAUAUGAUUAUGAAAACUAAUCCAUAUUAA
rnacentral:tRNA from 1 species